CUGGAAUCAUGUAAUUUGAUACUUUUCCCACACCCCCUCGGGCGCUAAAUUUUGGACGAGGCACGUGACCAGCCCAUACCAGGGUAUUUCCUAAAUACCCUGGGAACGAGGUUGGGGGGGAAAUUGAAGCCAGUGUAUUUUAGUUUUUCUGAGUUAUGAGCAGAAAUACUCAACACUGAACGUUGGGCUAUACAUCAAAUUGAAGCUAUUGAAAAACGCUAUUUGGUGUGGAAAUUUCAAGACUUUAGCUAAAAGGGAAAUAUUGAAAAACUACAAACAUAAUUACCGAUAAUUUGCCGUUUUGCAGUUGUUUUUGUAUUUUUUAAAUAUUUUUCUUUUCGCUGAAGUCUUGAAAUUUCCACACCGAAUAGCAAUUUUCAAUAGCUUCAAUUUGAUAUAUAGCCCGACGUUUGGGGUCAAGUAUUUCUGCUCAUAACUCAGAAAAACUAUUUUGGCUUCAUCAAAUCAUAGGCCUUCAUCAUAGCAGUUAGCCUUCCAGUUUAUUUAUAGUUCAAUG
rnacentral:lncRNA from 1 species